rnacentral:tRNA from 1 species
GAGCUUGUUGCCUAAUGGUAGGGCGGCGUUUAACAAAACGCUCUGUGCGAGUUUGAUACUCGCCAAGCUCA